GGGGCAUUAGCUCAGUUGGCUAGAGUGUUUGACUGGCAGUCAAGAGGUCAUCGGUUCGAUUCCGAUAUGCUCCACAA
rnacentral:tRNA from 1 species